rnacentral:lncRNA from 1 species
ACAUGGCGGCGGGGGUGAGGGUCUGCGAAUCCCUCCCCCAACCCCAGGACUCUUGCAAACGCUCCUAGCUCCAGCAUUAACCCGGCCGGGGCAGAGGUGGGGGUUCAUGACAGUAGCGCCCCCUCUGGGAGAUGCCCCAAACUCGGAGAGCGCCCAGAGGCGGAGAGCAGGAGAGGAGGGCACGUGACCCCCACCCCGGGGACCAAGGGAUUCUGUUGAGGACACUUUCUCAACCUCCAGUUCCCUCCUGGAGCUGCUGAGAGGAUUUGGGGGAGUCUGGCGCCCAGAGAGGGUGGAGCCCUUUCCAAAAACCACACAGCAUCCCUGGGCGUGCUGUCCAAAAUAUGCCCUGUAUUGCGCAUAUAUUAAUAAUUAUGACUUGACUGAUCCCACAGCCAGGAAAUGGUGGAGCCUGGAUUUGAACCCCAGCUUUUAAGAAGAAGGUGCCACUGUCCUGGAAGAACUCUCAGGACAGCAUUAGUGUCUCAGGGAUCCCCCUAAUCGGAGGGGCCUUAAGGCAAGUGAGUGUGACCUGGGGUGAGUGAGUGGGGUCUCUUAGACCUCUUCCCUGCCCCCUGCCUGGUGCCCCUGAGCCUGACACAGACUGCCUCCCUGCCUUGCUUUUUCAGCCUAAUCAUGAUUGUCACUGAAGAUCCAGGAGGGCUUCCUGGAGGAGGAGGCAGCUCCAUUCUGAAAUGCCAAGGGUACAGCUUUAUUGGGACAGCCAGUGUCUCUGAAUAUGUAGGUUUU